UCUCCCAUGAGUAUCAUCAUAUCACAAGACUUGGUGAAGCACAGAUAUAUCUAAUGCAGUGGCAUUUUUCUCAAGCCUAACGAAGUUUAUGUUUUAGUACAAAGAUACCUGUUCACAGAAAAUUGCGACUAGACAGAUAAGCUGGUCUGCAUCUACAGAAUAUCUACAGAAUACACAUGAAGAUGAUUUUAAUAAUGGAGUGAGAGGAGAAUCUGGUUAUUUUUCAGAUCUGUUUUUUUUUUUUUUCUUUUUUUUUCUUUUCCCCUGAAAAUACAUUAACUACUUUCACAAGUAGAGGUGCCUGGCUAGAAACCUUACUCUGCCCUACACUUAAUGCAAUUAAUUGCGUUAACACAAUUAAUGCAAUUAGCUUUCCUGGGUGGGGCCUAAUUAAUAAGUACUCUUGCUUGCCAGCUUGUGUCUAGUUUCCCAGCAAACCCAGCUAAUUCUUCAGAGAGCUGCUAGCAUCAGUCUGAACAUGACUGAGGUAAACUGAAGAUUGACUUUCCAGUUGUUGUCUAUUAUACCUCUAACAAGAGAGGGAUACAAGGCUUCUGUGUUGCUACAGAAAUUCUGGCACUGAAGAAAAGAGGAUAGAUUCUUUUUGACUUGGUGAAUUGUUGGCAGUAGAAACAUUACAAGAGUUCAAAGGGAAGGAAGUGUUUGGAAAUGUUUGUGUCUUCUACCAAAUGGAAGCACAUCUUAAUUAUUUUUGUUUGGAUGUGGAAUACAGUGAAUUUAUCAAUACUUCAUCAAAGAGAAUAGAAAGCUACCUUCAGACCAAAAACAAAACAUGGGAGGAGGAAGAGGCAAUCUUCUCUCUGUGGCACACUGGAUGUCCAAACCGAAGACUCCAAUGGCACCUCUUGUGGACAUCUGCCUGGAGGAGGUUGCACGUUCAGGCAGCUCUUGAAGAUCUCCAGGGAAGGAGACUGCAUAGCCUGUGACAGUGCUGUCAACCAUACAGUGAAGAAGUGCUUCCUGAUGUUCAGAGGAGACCACCUGUGUUCCAGUUUGUGUCCAUUACCUUGUGCUCUGUCAUUGGGCUCCAUUGGAAGUAGCCUGGCUCUUUUUACCCUCCCUUAAGGUCUGAUCAGAUUUCCCCUUUAACGCGGGCACAGGCAGGCACCAAUCGCAGAGCUGGCAUCUUUGCAAAGGAAAGGUGGAUGCUCUGACUGGGAGGAAGUGAGCUUUAUUGACACCAGCAAGAUCUGGUUUCUUCACAACCAUGAAAUCAUAUAGUUUAAAAAAAACAAAAGGAUUUUUAUUGUAUGCCUGCAGCAUGGAUUUCUGAGCACCUUUCUUUGAUACAGUGAAUGACAACAUGAUCAACAUGUUUUGUAUGCAGUUUUCCAGUCCAUCCUUUCUUCCUCUCUCCUCAGCACAGCAGGCGACACUUCCUUUGAUGAUACAAUUCAAACAUGAAGGAAGACUGAUUAUAUUUGCUACUUGAGUGGAAGAGCUUCUGCAGCACAAGUGAGUGACCUUUCAAAACUGCAUCACCGGAUGAUCACCUGGUUUCAAGGCUUCAUCCAUUUUUGUGUCUUGUAUAAGACCGUGGAGGCAGAUGGCCUUACUUCAGAUGUCUGCUUUUUAUCACUUCUUGAUAACUUGCACUGUGCCUUCAGGUUGGAAAAUAGGUAAAAUGUCUUUUCAUCUGUUGUAAAUUUUCCCCUCUACUUCUGUUCUCAUCUUCUUACUUGUGGAUGAUCAUAUAAGGUUAAAUUGUUCUGUGUUUUGUUUGAUAACUAACGCUGAAUUCAUUAAACUACACUUCAGACUUAAUUUUCUGUUCAAUUUUCCUCUGCCAAGUUUGUUUCCAAAUUAUGUUCUU